ensembl:lncRNA uncharacterized LOC114797788
AAGGUUGGAUCUCAAAUCUUGAAGCACCACAGUGCCACUGAGGAGCCACUGAGCAAGGUCCCAUCCCCACACACCGUUCCCCGAUUCCCACUGCUCCCCCUGGGCAUGGUUUUAAUGCAGAGAAGACAUUCCACUGUGUGCACUGGGCUCUGUGCAGUGGUGUGUCACACGUGACAGGCAAACUUAAUUCCGAAGGAUGUCAGAUGCGGGUGAUCAAGGGGGCGUGGUCUUCAAUCCAAACCCGUGUUGGGUUGCCUGGAAUCCAUGGGAUCCACUGUGACAACUGCACUGGACUGGGCGACCUGCAGGGAGGGUGGAGCCGGAUCUACUUUUGCAUAAAUUGUUUGUCAUCAGGAUCAGAAACAAAAGUGAAAACAAACACAGAGUUCAGCUAUUUCUCUACAGGAUCUUUGUGCAUCGUGUGAAUGAUUAAAAGAUGCGGGUGACAGUUGCUGUUUUUCUGCUGCUCACUGUUUUCAGUUUGAGUGAAACAGUACGUUUCCCAGGACUGGACUUGUUGAUUUCUGACUGUAUAGAGGAAUGUGAGGAAUUGGACUACUGCUUGGAUCAAGGGUUAAGUAAAAGUGGCAAAGGUUGCUUUGUAAGGAACUGCAAAAGUGUCUUCAAACAGUGUUUACAGAAAUUUCCUGAGACGGCCUUAUCCCAUGUUAACCACUUUGCUGCUCUGGCUGAGCAAUGGAUAGGCGUUGCAGUGGACAAGAUUGCGGACGUCUAUCUUCAUUGCUGGCACAAUUCACAGUAUCAGAAUGUGACGCUGCUGUCUGACUGCUUGCUGGAUGCCAUCUUUGAGGCAGCACAGGUGCCUUUAACUGAGCUCGGAGAAGCAGUCUUCACCGAUCCAGCCUACAUGUCAUGCUGGAUCUUUCAAUCCUUGAAACAAAUUAUUCACUGCUACAUCAACAUUGACAACGGAUACUGGAGAGCGAUUGAAGUGAAUACAGACAAUGAACUACAGCACAAUGUUUAUGGUACUGCUGGCAUUAAAAAAGUUAUUAUUCAGGCAAUGCCCGACUGUUCACUGGGUAAAGUAUUUCUACUGUGGUUCCCUGUUCUACAGAAUACUUAA